rnacentral:rRNA from 1 species
UACGGAGGGUGCAAGCGUUAAUCGGAAUUACUGGGCGUAAAGCGUACGCAGGCGGCUUGUUAAGUCCGAUGUGAAAUACCCGGGCUCAACCUGGGAACGGCAGCUGAUACUGGCAAGCUUGAGUACCGUAGAGGGGGGUAGAAUUCCAGGUGUAGCGGUGAAAUGCGUAGAGAUCUGGAGGAAUACCGGUGGCGAAGGCGGCCCCCUGGACGAAGACUGACGCUCAGGUGCGAAAGCGUGGGGAGCAAACAGG